GAUGAACGCUGGCGGCGUGCCUAAUACAUGCAAGUCGAGCGAACAGACGAGGAGCUUGCUCCUCUGAUGUUAGCGGCGGACGGGUGAGUAACACGUGGAUAACCUACCUAUAAGACUGGGAUAACUUCGGGAAACCGGAGCUAAUACCGGAUAACAUGUUGAACCGCAUGGUUCAACAGUGAAAGACGGUCUUGCUGUCACUUAUAGAUGGAUCCGCGCCGCAUUAGCUAGUUGGUAAGGUAACGGCUUACCAAGGCAACGAUGCGUAGCCGACCUGAGAGGGUGAUCGGCCACACUGGAACUGAGACACGGUCCAGACUCCUACGGGAGGCAGCAGUAGGGAAUCUUCCGCAAUGGGCGAAAGCCUGACGGAGCAACGCCGCGUGAGUGAAGAAGGUCUUCGGAUCGUAAAACUCUGUUAUUAGGGAAGAACAAAUGUGUAAGUAACUAUGCACGUCUUGACAGUACCUAAUCAGAAAGCCACGGCUAACUACGUG
rnacentral:rRNA from 1 species